AUUGAACGCUGGCGGCAUGCCUUACACAUGCAAGUCGAACGGCAGCACGGGUGCUUGCACCUGGUGGCGAGUGGCGAACGGGUGAGUAAUAUAUCGGAACGUACCUUAUCGUGGGGGAUAACGCAGCGAAAGCUGUGCUAAUACCGCAUAAGCCCUAAGGGGGAAAGCAGGGGACCGUAAGGCCUUGCGCGAUUAGAGCGGCCGAUACCUGAUUAGCUAGUUGGUGAGGUAAAGGCUCACCAAGGCAACGAUCAGUAGCUGGUCUGAGAGGACGAUCAGCCACACCGGGACUGAGACACGGCCCAAACUCCUACGGGAGGCAGAAGUGGGGAAUAUUGGACAAUGGACGCAAGUCUGAUCCAGCCAUUCCGCGUGCAGGACGAAGGCCUUCGGGUUGUAAACUGCUUUUGUACAGAACGAAAAGGUCUCUAUUUAUACUAGGGGCUCAUGACGGUACUGUAAGAAUAAGCACCGGCUAACCACGUGCCAGCCGCCGCAGUAA
rnacentral:rRNA from 1 species